rnacentral:sRNA from 1 species
GCCAGGUGCGGUGGCUCACGCCUGUCAUCCCAGUGGCCUGGGAGGCUGAGGCAGGAGGAUCCCAAGUUCAAAGCCAGCCUCAGCCAAAGUGAGGCCCUAAGCAACUCGGUGAGACCCUGUCUCUA